rnacentral:rRNA from 1 species
UACGUAGGUGGCAAGCGUUGUCCGGAAUUACUGGGCGUAAAGCGCGCGCAGGCGGCCGCUUAAGUCUGGGGUGAAAACCCGGGGCUCAACCUCGGGAGUGCCUUGGAUACUGGGUGGCUUGAACAUCGGAGAGGCAAGGGGAAUUCCACGUGUAGCGGUGAAAUGCGUAGAGAUGUGGAGGAACACCUGUGGCGAAGGCGCCUUGCUGGGCGAUUGUUGACGCUGAGGCGCGAAAGCGUGGGGAGCAAACAGG